rnacentral:rRNA from 1 species
GUACGCGUGCGGCAGCCUUACACGUUACAGUGAGCGGAGAGAGGUAGCUUGCUACUGAUCUUAGCGGCGGUGAGUAAUGCUUAGGAAUCUGCCUAUUAGUGGGGGACAACAUUUCGAAAGGAAUGCUAAUACCGCAUACGUCCUACGGGAGAAAGCAGGGGAUCUUCGGACCUUGCGCUAAUAGAUGAGCCUAAGUCGGAUUAGUUAGUUGGUGGGGUAAAGGCCUACCAAGGCGACGAUCUGUAGCGGGUCUGAGAGGAUGAUCCGCCACACUGGUGACUGAGACACGGCCCAGACUCCUACGGGAGGCAGCAGUGGGGCAAUAUUGGACAAUGGGCGCAAGCCUGAUCCAGCCAUGCCGCGUGUGUGAAGAACGCCUUAUGGUUGUAAAGCACUUUAAGCGAGGAAGAGGCUACUUUUGUUAAUACCUAGAGAUAGUGGACGUUACUCGCAGAAUAAGCACCGGCUAACUCUGUGCCAGCAGCCGUGAAAACAGAGGUGCAGGGUAAUCGAUC